rnacentral:rRNA from 1 species
GGCCGCGGUCGGUCGGUGUAUUUGUUUGGGUGUGUGGGUGUGUGGGUGUGUGUGUGUGUGUGGUCUGCCCCCCUUUGACUUUCGUUCGCCUCCGGCGAAGAGGCUAACUAAAGCAAGGUAAGGUAGUAGUGUGUCGGUUUUCUGGCGCUGCGCGGGGAGAGGAGCGAGGGCAGGGGGAGCGCUAAACUAAGCAGAGGGGUGGAGGGCAAGGCGACGGGGUACGGCGGGCGGGCGGGGGACGCGCGGCUGAGGAGAACUGGGGCAGGGGCCGCUGCUGCUGCGGCGGCGGCGGCGGCGGCGGCGGUACCGGCAGCUAAGGCUGUCUCCCCUCCCCCUAAACCUCUAACCCAACCGCAGCGGCCACAGCCUCCCUCCCCAAAGCGGGCAGCGGGGUCCGGCGGCCCGCGAGCUCAGGACGGAGAGGCCCUUCGCGGAGCUGGUCAGCGGCAGCGGGAGCGCCCGCCAGUCCGCGGGGCGCGAUCAGUACAGGUCGAGGCCCUUCGCGGAGCUGGUCAGCGGGCGCCGCAGCGGCAGCGGGAGCGCGGGCCACGACCAGUACAGGGUGAGGUCGUUUGCGGACCUGGUCGGCGGGCCGGCGGGGCACGACCGGUACAGGGCGAGGUCGUUGGCGGAGCUGGUGAGCGGCCGCAGCAGGAGCAGCGGCUGCGGCCGCUUCCCGGGCCGCGAGCAGUACAGGCCGAGGUCGUUCGCCGACCUUGUCAGCGAGCGCAGGGGCAGGGGCAGCGGGUUCCGGCCCCGGCGCCGCGGCGGGCACGACCACGAGAGGUUGAGGCCGUUCGCCUACCUGGUCCGCCCGGCCUUCUUCAUGCAGUUCGUCCAGUGCCCGGCCGUGUUGCUGUGCCUCGAGGUGGAGCGGCGCGUCGCGCCCCUGGAACUGCGGCACGCGGUCUAGUAGCGGCUUUAGCUGCGCGUCUACUGGCCGUGGCCCCUCCUCAAGCUGUCGCUCCACCGCCUCUAGGCGCGGCGGCACGAGUUGCUCGGGUUGCUCCAGCCCCUCUGGCGCGACGAGUAGCGGCGACUCUUUCCCAAGUAGCUGCAGCAGCAGCUCGACGAGUUCGUGAGACUGUUCCUCUCGGAACGCUCCUUCUUGUUUAGUCCUAAGCUACGAGACGUGCAGCGACGUUUCCUUCCGGUGGCUCUAUAACACUUCCAUGAGGACCUGGUACUAGGUAGGGAACCCUUCUGCAAACCGGUUAGUUUACACUGAGGAGACUAUUGACGCCGCUAAUCUCCGGUGGAGCUCCAUCACUUGGAAGACGACCUCGCUCAAAGACCCAACCAACUUGAUAGCUUCCGCUUGCCUUUCUUACGUAACGUAAAGCGACGGGCAGUCCCCGUACAACUUUAUCAAUUCAGAAACGAUCAGUCGCUUCGAGUCGAACGAGCCUUCUGACUAUUCUUUCCUGUCUGGCGAAACGUAUACCGCCAAUUUCCUUGUUCGCGACGCCAACAAUCUCGUGAACACUUACGACUAGGCCGGUAUCAAUACAAUGGACUGUUUUUACCGUUGAAUCGAAACGUACAACGGUGGUCCUUCUUUUCUAGUCUCUAACACUUACUCGAAGACGAAGAAGGCCUGUACUUGCACUUACGCGACUGAUCCCUAGCGUUCUGACGUAAGCUGUAUCGUCUCCCAGAAGGCGAUAGUCUCCUCAGACGCCUAUAUUUCCUAACAAAUAGGGCGCGACCACGUCACUCUCGUUUACUAGACUUAGUCGGAGCCCUACUCGACUCUUUUUGUCACUGACUCUAGUUCUUCCUGCAUGUGUGAGUUGAACUCGUUCGGUCUUUUUGGUUGUUUUUACACGUACCGUAUCGUUUCCUCGACUCCUUCGAGGUGUCCCUUCCGUAGUUAUUACGUUGUUUGAGACAGUGUCAACACCGACACGAGAAACGGUGUCAACGUAAACGACGCUAUAAGUGCCACGGUCCGCCGUUACUGCUGGUACCACAUCGUUAUCAACACGUACGCCAUAGGAAGUUCCACAAGAAGUAGAAGUUACGGUAGCGGAACAAGUGUAGUAAUCGUCAUCACCACCACGUCUAUUGUGAACAAUCCCCGCUCUGCUUUCGUCUCUCCGCUCAACACCUCCACUAGUUGUUCAACUACACCGACCGAAGACAUACGUGGUGCCACCGUAAGUAUAGGAGGAGAAUGUAUCACCACCCAGCCGUGAAGUUCACCCGCCGCGACGACCACUGGGAGUAGCCGCCCCACUAGUACCGGCCACACGAACCGUGCUACUGUAUGAUACACCACUUCAGGUUCGCGUGCGCCAGCUAAUCCUUCUUCCACUUCAGUUGUUCCGCCUCACCGAGUUUGAGUACCUUGGUGUUGAGCCUCAGUCUAAGGCUCUAUCUGGCCUAUAUGCGGUAUACUCCCACUAGAGGCCGGAUACUUCGGAGCCAGAAAAACCGCCGCGGUGUGCUGUGCCUACAUGUUUCUUUCCCAACCGUGAUUCAUAUUUGUCGAAACUGGGAGGUCCACGACACCCAUACCCCAAAAUGGCAUAUGAGGGAGGCAAGGAUUUAUAUUCAGAAACAUCCCUAAAAUGAUCUACCUGAUGUAUGCCUCGUUUUAAUUACUUACAUGUGAAUUUUACGUAGAUAUAUGUAGGCAUACACCAAGUAUCACUUUAAAGAUGUUUCUGAACAUAAAUCCUUGCCUCCCUCAUGUAAGGUUAUUCGACCACAAGGACCUACCCGUCCUCGGUCCUCCGCUGCCAGCACAACAUAUGUAGAAGAUGUCUAUCUAACAGUAGUAGUCUUAUACGUACGUCGGACACGACACGAGGGAUACGUACCGACCGACCGACCGGAAGUAUUUUAAAGAGAGUCGGAAAAAGACAUGGAAAACAAUUAUACGACACGAUCGUCUUACCAUACACAUGAAUCGUGAGACAUGGAACAUAAAGUAGACUAUAGACUCUUCCAAGAUCUUCG